rnacentral:rRNA from 1 species
UGAGGAAUAUUGGUCAAUGGGCGGCAGCCUGAACCAGCCAUCCCGCGUGAAGGAAGAAUGCGCUAUGCGUUGUAAACUUCUUUUUCAGGGGGAUAAAAUUCUGUAUGUAUACAGGACUGAAGGUACCCUGAGAAUAAGCAUCGGCUAACUCCGUGCCAGCAGCCGCGGUAAUACGGAGGAUGCGAGCGUUAUCCGGAUUUAUUGGGUUUAAAGGGUGCGUAGGCGGAAUAAUAAGUCAGUGGUGAAACCCUACAGCUUAACUGUAGACUUGCCAUUGAUACUGUUUUUCUUGAGUAUGGUCAAGGCAGGCGGAAUGUGUAAUGUAGCGGUGAAAUGCUUAGAUAUUACACAGAACACCGAUAGCGAAGGCAGCUUGCUGGGCCGUUACUGACGCUGAUGCACGAAAGCGUGGGGAUCGAACAG